rnacentral:lncRNA from 1 species
UGAAAGCCAUCUGAGCAACAUCUCGACCAAGUUCUACGGUGAAAUCACCCAACAGUUGUUGAAGCACUCCGAUUUCCCAGGAAGUAACAACGGAACUGGCCUCUUCCAAACCAUAGUUGGGUUGAAGAUAAGAGACCUCUUUGAGCAAAUCGUCGCCAGCCGGGCUGCAACUCCCUUAGAAGCAACAAAAGCCUAAACCCACUGCCUUACAUAUUGGACAAAUGUCUUCUUACUCAUUCAGCAUUUCCUUUUUUCCCCACCUCCCUCACUAAGCUCUUUCUCAUGUUUCAACUUUGGGUGUUAGCCUAUUCCUCAUAAGAAUGAGAACACUCUCAUAUGUAUUUGUUUCCUCAUGGGAUUCUGUGGAGAUAUGUAGUAUAGAGAAGCUAAAACAGUCAAGAACAUCAUUCAACAUUCAACACUUCUUGGAAUUUUCUAUGAGCAACCAGGAUAGAAGAAUAAAAGACGACUCUAAAUGUACAAAUUAUGAUAUUUCCUUUCAUUUUUUACGAAGCCAAACUCACAACACAAACCUACCGGAGAAAAAACUAAACAGUAAGAUGAUAUUUUCACCUGAUCAAUGAGAUUAAAACCAGUUAUGGCUUGAUUCGUUCCCAAUUGGUGUAUCAGCUGAUUCAUGUCCUCUCAAUGGUCCCCGACAACGGUGCCAUUUGAUUCGUGCCCAGCUGGUGUUCCUUGAUUGCGGUCCUUAGAAGGGAGUAAUCAACAAAAUUUAUAACCUAUAUCACCAUGCAUUAGGAUAGCUUUAGCUAAUAUAGCAUAGUGGCUUUAGGAUCGUUCACUGGGAAGGGUUUUCAAUUUACAAUUGAUACCAAUUCAAAGUUAAAUUUGUGCUUUUUCAUUUCAAGGUUAGCUUAAGAAGAAAACAUAAACUUUGGUUGAAAAGGUUUUUGUUUUAAGCUAACUAAAAAGAAAGUAAUGGAAAUUACUUAUGAAGAAAAACAUUCCUUGGAGUUUUAGGUUCACAGGGGAGGCUCCUCAUGUAACAACAUAGCUCCGGUCACUUGGUUCUUUUCCUCGCAUUAAAGAAUUAACAUAUAGUUAAUUCUCUAACCGGUGUUGUACAGAUGCUUCCCUUUAAUGGAUUUCAGCACUAAUUCCCUCUCACUGAUGCAACUUGCAAUGGCUCGUGCCUCUCACCUAGAAUUUGUCAUUCAAGGUGAUCAUUAACCUUGGACUUCCCUUCUCAAGCUCGCAAGAGAUAACUAAUGGAUGUCUCCUUAGAGUCCAAAAGCUUACCAAGUGUUGGCAAUUCUAGAAAAUCCUACCUUCAAGUCACCUCCCAAAAGCUCGCAAGAGAUAAACUAGUGCAUCUCCAUGGACGGAGAUCACUUGCCUUACCAAGUGUUGGCUCAGGUGAAUUGAAGGUGUUUUAAGUUAACUAAAAACGUAGAAAUCAUUAAUGGGUCACACUUUCUCUUCAUUAAUGGCUAAAACAACAAAACUACCAAUUCUUGCAUUUACGGCUUUACCCGGGCAACCUUAGCUCUAAGGAACUAAAAGUCUAGCCAACCAUUCUCUGAGGAAACAUCCUCAGAGCUUGUUUGGCUAGUAAGAAAAAAAUAUAUAACACAAUACAAUCAAAUUGAGUAGGUAAAGCAGAGCAAAAGCUUUGUAUUUUACUUCCUUUCAAAACUAUACAAAAGAUGCGUCUCUGAGAACAAGCUCCCAAGAUAUCUGUGUAAUGGAAAUUACAAGCAUUAUAUAAGAGGCUAUUUACCCUUUGUUCUUGCUUAAAGACUAAGGAAUCUUAUGAUAGGUGAAUUACAAGGAGAGUUUGAGGAUUUAGACAUCAAAUAUCUAAAGCAAAAAAAUCUAAAAAAAUGUCGGUUGCAAAUAUCGGGAAGCUUCAGGAGAAUUUCGCAGCCGUGCAAGAUGGCUGUGAAAUUUCGCAGCAUAAAGGACACCAUUUCGCAGCCAAAGGCUGAUUUCACAACCCUGCGAAAUUGGCCUUUAGCUUGGAGUGAUCGGCUUCCAAUGGCUGUAACUCCUUCAUUUCAACUCUGAAUCAUACACCGUUUGAAGAGUUGGAUUGCUAACUUCCCGAGCUUCGAAACGACAUAUAGUAUGCAUAAUUUGAGCUCCAGGAAGUGCUCCAAAAGUGGCUGACAUUGACUGUACUUUUGGAUGCUUCAUGGUGGAUUUCUCUCUUUGCUUUUCCUCCUUUCAUUCAUGAUUUGCUUAUGGCAAAGGGCUCUAAAGCGUCAAAGAUUUGGUUCUUCAUGUUUCUGAGCUUUCCAUUGCUUUGCCAUGGAUUCCAAAGAACUCUUAUCAAUCUCGGAUUGCUUUGGUGAUCAAAUUACUAACAAAAACACCAAAACUUACACAAUUUGAUUAGAAAUGAUUGCAAAGGUCCUUAAUAUGUUAAUUGGGUUAAAAGGUAAUAACUACUACUCAAAAGUGUUUAAAAGAUUUAAUUACAAGCUAUCAAAUAGCACUUUUUGACUAGUAAUCACUCCCCCCAACCGACAUAUUGCUAGUCCCUUAGCAAUAAAUGAGAGAAAAAGUACUAGAAAGUAAUAUACUUUACAAGAUCAUGCUGAUCACUUCCAAAAAAUUUUAAGUGGCAUGAUGAUCAAACUCUUACAUCGAACAUUAAAGAAAUAUAAACUCAAAUUUCAACAAGAGUUAUCAAAUACUUUGCUAAACACAAUUCAUAAAGAGAAGGCAUUAUGCAAAUUGAAGCUUUAAAAUUCAUUUCCACUUCCAAAGGACCAAACCUUACUCUUCCACAAAAAUCUAAGUGUUAUUUGAUAUUUUCCAAAUAUAGUAUGCUAAACUAAUCUCUCCCCCCAACCUAGUUCUUUUUCAACACUUAGCAAACUGACCAAAUUCAAUAGGCUAAGAACGCACCCUUUUGUUUCAUAAUUAUUUUAUUUUAUUUUAUUGUAGGAGUACAAGGCUUAAAGGUAUUCUUUUCUAAAUUUUCCAUUAACGGGGGUCGAUCAAUGACUCCCAACCAAUUAAGGUUUAGGGCAUCAAGCUUUAAGGAUCGUUCAACCACUAACUCCUCGAAUUUUACCCCGGACUUUUAAGAAUGAAUUUAAAUACCCAAGCACCUAUAGUAUGUUAAACUCCACCUAUUCACCCUUGUAACGAGCAUUGAGGUCGGUGAAUCCCAACCAAUUAAGGCUUAGGGCACCAGGCUUUAAAGAUUUCACCAUAUACCCCUCAGACCUUGCUUAGGUUUCAAGGCAAGCAAACAUUUUUCUCUUUCUUUUCUUUUCUUUUUCAAAGGCUCAUUGGCCUUUUAUAAGGUGUCCCAACACUAUUAAAAUAAGGUCAAAGAUAGCAAGUCUAAAUUUUCCUAAGCCAAGAGGGAAAUAGUUUUUCAUCUUAUAAUCGAAACCUAUUGUGCACAGUGUGCGAAUAGCUUAAAGUGGAAGAACUAAGCUUGAAUUCAAUAAAAUCUUCAACAAUUCAUCAACUUUAGUAAGCAUAAUACAAACUCUAAGUCAAGUGAAAAACAAAAAUUCAAUUUCUCCCAUUUCAAUUUGAAAUUUUUUCCUUAGUAACCAUGGAGAGUAGAAUAAAAAACUUUUAAAAAAUUUUUUAAAUUAAACAAAAAUCAACUAAAUUACCAAAAUAACUUAGCAUAAAUAACAAAAACUUCCUUCCUCAACUCUCCCCCCAACCAAGCUGAACAUUGUCCUCAAUGUGGCAUGAGCGAAUGAGAUUAUAGGGAGGAAGUGGUGCCUCCUGAGUGAUAUCAAUUUCAAGUAUUGAUUGGAGAAACCACAUGUUUCAAAAACAAUAAAAGAUAUGAGUAGAGGAAAUAAGAAUAAAAUAAUGCUAAGAGUGAUCAAAAAGUGAUAGAAUUGUAUUACUUCAAUUCAUGUGAGUACAAAAUGAGAGCAAGUAAUACAUGUAAUCCCAGUAUAUGAUAUCAAAAGCAUGGGAUUUCAUAAAGGACAUACAUAAUCAAAAUAUAUAUAAAAGAAACUAUCAAAAUGAUCAAAUGGUGGGUGGAGGAUGCUGUGGAGAUGAUGGCUUAGCUGCCUCUGCCUCUCCUAUAGUGGGCUCCUCAAGAGGUAUAGGCUGAUCGAUGAAAUGAGGGGCCUAUGAUGGCUCUGGUGGGCUAGGAAUGGCAUGCUCAGGAGCUGAUAUAAUACCCAGAUGAUGCUGAAUCUACCUCAAGAUGGUAGUGUGCUGGGUCUGAGUGGCGAUAAUCUACUCCUGGUGAGCAUAAAGAGUUGUCAUCUGCUAAGUGAGGAUGCUCUGAGAAGUGGUCAAUGCCUGGAAAGUGUGGCAUAGGCCUCUAUACUCGAUAAUGGGUAUAACUAUCCUUGGCUCAGCUAAAGGAGAUGGCUCUGAUAGGGGUGGAAUAACAAGGGGAGUCCGUGGUGUGGCCUGAUGAGCAGAGGGUGGAACCUCUGGUAUAGGCUCAAUAGAGGCCACUGUAGGGGCAGGUGGCCGAGUGUCAGCAGGUAUGUCAAUUGGCUCCUCUGGCUGCUCUGGAUGCUCUGGUUUAGCUGGGGCUCCCUGGUUUGUACCACCAUAAGCUGUCAUACCGAUCCAUUUGUCAAUAGUGAAUAUCUCUCGACAAAUGCGUCUACGCUCAUGCUGAGGGUCUGAUGGAUAUCCCAGGUGCUCCAAUAUUUGGCAUAAUAGUCUGGGGAAGAGAAGUGGAAUGGCAUCUGCUCGGAGUAGCUUCUUCCGAUGCAUCUUCUCUUCAAAAUAUAGAAGAGGGGCCAUGAUGAGAUGGUGAGGGCCAAAGAAGUAUCCCUCAGAGAUCCUAAACAAUGCCUCCAACAAGACUCUUGUCCUCUGCACCCAAUGCUGAAGUGGGAAAAUGUUAUGGCAGAGGAGUGCAUCAAUGAAGACCAUGCUGGGAAGAAGCUCCUUCCUCAAGAUAUAAUGGCGUGAGGAUGCCCCUCUGGACAGAGUAUGAACUAUGUCGCUCUGUGAAGGAUGAGUCCACGCUCGAAAAUCCUCUAGACGUACUGGCUCAUAGGGGAUAUGGAGUGCCUCUACUAUAUGUCGAGCUCCCAUAAUACCAUGGCAUCCGUCUAUGGUGAAAUGGAUGACUGUAGGAUCCCGGACCUGGUUUGUGGAUAUGGACUGAUAGAAGUCCAAUACCACGCGGGGAUAGAAAAAAUCCUUGGGAGUCAACAAGUGCUCCAUAUGAUACAUCUGUAACAGACGAAAGGAAUCCUUGAGCUCAGGGUGAAGUCUAAAAUUGGCUAUGUCGAAACAGAGCUUAGAGUGGAAUGGCCUUGCCCUGCAAUCCAAAUUUCCUUCAAUUGGUGGCUGAGUGACCAUGGGGCGUUUGAUAACGACCUUAGGGCUCAUGCCUGAGGGAAUGUGAGACUCUUUUGCUGGUGUCUGAGAUGGCUGAGGCUUUUUGGCAGGUGGUGGAGACUUUUUGACAGGUGGCAGAGAUGACGUAGGCUCGGAUUCAGGCUCUGAAGAUGACUCCGUUAGAUCAAUGGGCUCAGAGACCUUGGCUUUCUUCUUUGGGGGACCGGUACCUGAUUUUUGGCCUCUAGAAUAGCUUGCACCGGCUAUGGUAAGUGACCUUCGCGUGUUAUAACGCUUGGGUGGAGGACUGAUGGGUGCAUCCUCGACCGGAGGUGGGAUGACUCGAGGCCGCAGCGGCUCGGAGGUGGAACCUUAGACAGGCGUGUCUUUUGGGAUUCUCAGGCGAGUCGAUGGGGACGAAGACUUAGCUCCUCGAGUUCUAACCAUGGUGGAGUCAGCGAAAACGGCCGGAGUUGUGCAUGAGUUACUCAAACGAAGGGGCAAACGGGAAGGUGCUCUGGCUUGGCUCCUCUUGGUACCUUUUUGAAGUUCAAAUGACCGGUUUAGAAUAGGAAAAAUGGAAUUUAUACCGUUUAAAAGGAUGCCAAGGGUCACUGUUCAGUUUCGUAGCAGGCGGGAAUUUUCGUAGCAAGGAGGGGUGGAUUUCGCAGCAGUUGGGCGUUUUUGCAGAGGGGAGAAUUUCGGCAACAUUUUCAUAGUCCAUUUCACAGCAGCGAAAUGGGGGUACGGCGCUGUGAAAUGGCACUUGUGUGCCAAAGGGUGGUUUCGCGGCUAUGAAACACCCUUCGAAAUGGAGUCUCGGUUGUGAAAUGGGGGAUUUCAAGGCAUGGAGGUUUCGCAACAAUUUCGCAGCUGCGAAAUGGGUGUACGGGGCUAUGAAAUGGCACUCGUGUGCCAAAGGGUCACUUCGUAGCUGCGAAAAUUUUCGCAGAGGGCGCUACGAGGCUGCGAAACCAUUUCGUAGCAGAAGGCGAUUUUCGCAGUGGCUCUUGGGGGGCUGCGAAAUUUCGCAGACCAUUUUUUCUUUAUGUUUUUGAGCUCCUCUUGAUUCCUAGCUUCCUUCUUUCAAUUUCCUUGCAAUUCCUCCUAAUUUUGAUCAAUCAAAAAGAUUAAGUUACAUAUAAAUAACACAAUUUAAGACGAAAAUUAAAAUCAAAACAUUUUACAAAGCUUAUAAAUUAACAUAAUUAAACAAAAAUAUGGAUUUUGGUGAAACCAUAUCCAUCUAACCCUUCUCUGAUCAGGCUUUUUGUGGCUCAAGGAGGUUGAUUUCCUCAUUUUCUUGCUCGAAUGGCUCAAUGAAUGGCUUGAGACGAUGACCAUUGACUUUGAAGAUGUCUGUGCCAUUGGAAUUCAGUAAUUCCACCACUUCAUUGAGAUGCACUUGGUGAAUAAUGAAAGGACCUAUCCACCUUGACUUGAGCUUCCCAAGAAAGAUAUGGAGCCUUGAAUCAUAGAGUAAGACUCUUUGUCCUUUCCGGAAUUCUUUGUUGGAGAUUAGUUGAUCAUGCCACCUCUUCAUCCUCUGUUUUGCAACUUUGGAAUUGAUGUAAGCAUCAUUUCUUAAUUCCUCCAUCUCAUUAAGGUCUAAGCACCUCUUUGCCCCGACUCUGAUCAAGUCCAUGUUCAACCUUUUGAUUGCCCACCAAGCCUUAUAUUCAACUUCCACAGGGUGAUGGCAUGCUUUGCCAUAGACUAGGCGAUAGGGAGACAUGCUAAGAAUAGUCUUGUAAGAUGUUCUAUAUGCCCAUAAUGAAUCAUGAAGCUUAAUAGACCAAUCUUUUCUGCUCGUGAUCACCACUUUCAUCAAUAUGUUCUUGAUUUCCCUGUUUGCUAGCUCCACUUGCCCGGAAGUUUGAGGGUGAUAAGGUGUAGUUACCUUAUGCUUCACUCCAUAUUUGGCUAAUAGGGUUUCAAAAGUUUUGUUGCAAAAAUGAGUACCUUCAUCACUGAUUAUGGUCUUGGGUACCCCAAAUCUUGAGAAGAUGUUCUCCUUAAGAAAUUUGAGAACCACCCUGUGAUCAUUGUGUUUAUAGGGGAUUGCCUCAACCCAUUUAGAAACACAGUACACCCCCACCAAGAUAUAAGUGUUACCAAAAGACAUUGGGAAAGGUCCCAUGAAGUCAAUACCCCAAACAUAAAAAAGAUCAACUAUUAGGAUGGGGUUCAUGGGCAUUUGAUUUCUUUUUGUAAGCUUCCCGAGCCUUUGGCAUUUAUCACAACUCCUACACAUGAUGUGGGCAUCUUUGAAAAGUGAUGGCCAAGUAAACCCUGAUUGCAACACCUUCAUGGCUGUUUUCUGAGAGGCAAAGUGGCCUCCACAUGCAUUCUCAUGGCAAUGGCUGAGGAUUCCUUGUUGCUCUUCUUCAGGGACACACUUCCUUAUGAUCUGAUCCGCACAAUACUUGAAAAGAAAAGGCUCUUCCCAAUAAUAAACAUGAAUCUUUGCAAAGAAGUGUUUCCUGUCUUGUGCUUUCCACUCACUUGGAACUUCACCAUUAACCAAAUAGUUAGCAAUAUGAGCAUACCAAGGAGUUUUCUCUAGCAACAUGAGUGAUUCCUCAGGAAAUUCAUCAUUAAUAGGCAAGACAUGGGAAUUGUGUGCUAUAGCCAACCUUGAAAGGUGGUCAGCUACCACAUUCUCCACUCCUUUCUUGUCUCUGAUUUGAAGAUCGAACUCUUGUAAUAAAAGAAUCCAUCUAAUCAACCUUGCUUUUGCAUCUUGCUUUGUCAAUAAAUACUUCAAGGCUGAAUGGCCAGUGAAAACAAUGAUGAAAGACCCUACCAAAUAAGCACGAAACUUGUCUAAAGCAAACACCACAGCUAACAAUUCUUUCUCUGUAGUUGUGUAGUUCAUUUGAGCUUCGUUCAAUGUCUUGCUUGCAUAAUAGAUCACAUAGGGCUUCCCAUCUUCUCUUUGGCCAAGUACAGCUCCUAUAGCAAAGUCACUAGCAUCACACAUUACUUCAAAGGGUAGUUGCCAGUUAGGAGCCCUCACUAUUGGAGCGGUUGUCAAAAAUUGGUUCAAUUGAUCAAAACUCUUUUGACAUCUUUCAUCCCAUAUAAACUUAGCAUCCUUAGCUAAAAGUUCACAAUGAGGCUUUGAAAGCUUAGAGAAGUCUUUUAUAAAUCUCUUGUAAAACCCUGCAUGGCCAAGGAAUUGCCUUACUCCUUUAACAGUUGUUGGGGAUGGCAAUUUGACAAUAAGUUCCACCUUUGCUUUAUCAACUUCAAUGCCUUUCUCGGAGAUGAUAUGGCCAAGGACAAUUCCUUGAUGUACCAUAAAAUGACAUUUCUCCUAGUUAAGCACCAAGUCUUUUUCAAUGCAUCUGUUAAGAACCGCUUCCAAAUUGACUAAGCACUCUUCAAAUGUUCCUCCAUAUAUGGUGAUAUCAUCCAUGAAAACCUCCAUAAUUCGCUCCACCAUAUCACUGAAGAUACUAAGCAUACAUCUUUCAAAUGUUGCAGGUGCAUUGCAUAAACCAAAAGGCAUUCUUCUGUAGGCGUAUGUUCCAAAUAGACACGUGAAAGUGGUCUUCUCCUUAUCUUCAACAUCAAUUUCAAUUUGGAAGUACCCUGAGUACCCAUCCAAGAAACAAUAGAAAUGAUGGCCAGAGACUCUCUCCAACACUUGAUCAAUAAGCGGGAGUGCAAAAUGAUCUUCUUGGCACGACAUUCAAUUUCCUGUAGUCAAUACACACCCUCCAACCUGAAGUGAGGCGUGUAGCAAUCUCUUCUCCUUUUUCAUUUUGAACCACAGUAAUCCCUGACUUCUUUGGUACCCUUUGAGUAGGACUCACCCAAGGGCUGUCAGAUAUGGGAUAAAUAAUACCCACUUGAAGUAACUUCAGCACUUCAGCUCGCACCACCUCUUGCCAAUGAGGAUUCAAUCUUCUUUGAGGUUGACGAAUUGGUUUAGCUUCUUCCUCCAUAUAUAUGUGAUGUGUACAAACCAAAUGACUGAUUCCUUUCAAGUCAGAUAUUUUCCAUCCUAUUGCUUUCUUACACCUCUUGAGAACUUUAAGUAGAGAAAUCUCUUGAUGAGUAGUAAGAGAUGAAGAUAUAACAACAGGGCAUUGUUUAUUUUCUUCCAGGUACGUGUAUUUCAACUCCAUGGGUAGAGGUUUCAGAUUGAGCUUUGGGAUCUCUACCUUAACAGCUUCUUGUGCCUCUUCUUUAUUGAACAAAGGUAGAAUCUCUUCUUUCCUCCUCCAACCUUGUAGAGUAGCAAGCACAUCAGCGGGUUCAGACAACCCUUCUUCAAGAUCCUCAAGACUUUCAUUCAACUUGUCUUGCAUAUUCUGAUUACAGUGCUCCUCCACUAGAGUGUCAAUAAUGCAUACCUCUUCUGGACCUUCUUCUUCUUCUUCUGGAGUGAUUAGCUUCUUAGACAUAUAAAAGAUAUUAAGCUCAAGUGCCAUGUUGCCAAAAGUGAGUUGCAUAAGUCCAUUCCUACAAUUGAUGAUUGCAUUUGAGGUAGCAAGGAAUGGUCUUCCAAGGAUGAUAGGAACAUAAUUAGAUUCCUUAACAAAGGGAUCCGUAUCAAGAACAACAAAAUCUACUGGAUAGUAGAAAUUAUCAACUUGAACUAAGACAUCUUCAAUUAUCCCCCUUGGAAUUUUCAUUGAUCUAUCAGCUAAAGAUAGAGUGAUUGAUGUUGGCUUCCAUUCACCAAGUCCCAAUUGCUUGUAGACAGAGUAUGGUAGCAAUUCACACUUGCUCCCAAGUUUAACAAAGCUUUUUCCACUACCUUUCCUCCAAUCAUGAUUGAAAUGGUAGGACAUCCCGGAUCUUUGUACUUCAAAGGAGACUUGCAUUGUAUGAUGGCACUUACUUGCUCAGUCAAGAAGGAUUUCUUAUUCACAUUCAACCCUCUUUUGAUAGUACACAAGUCCUUUAGGAAUUUUGCAUAUGUUGGAACUUGCUUAAUGAUAUCCAGCAAUGGAAUAUUGACUUUCACUUGUCUCAAUACUUCUAGGAUUUCUGAUGCAUUUUUUAUCCCCUUUUUCCCAUGCAAAGCUUGAGGAAAAGGUGGAGAUGUGUGUUUCUUCAUCAUUUCUUCCUUAAUAAGCUCUUUCUCCGGAUUCGAAUUCACUGUUGAAUCAUGGUCCUCUUUCCCUUCACUGAUAUCUUUCUUCUUUCCUUUCAUUUCCUCCCUCUUCUUUGUCACUUCUUCUUCUUCCUCUUCAACAUGUGGAUUGGGUGUUGGUGACUCAACCUUUUUACCACUCCUUAGAGUGAUCAAGGCUUGACAUCUCUCACCUGUGAAGAUUCUCCCUCAUGAGUUUCCACUUCAUGGAUACCCUUGGGGUUUUGGUGAGGUUGAGAAGGAAAUCUACCCUUCUCUUGCACUGUGUUCAAAUUAGUGAGCCUUGAGAUUGAGUAUUAGAGGUUAUCUAUCUUCUGAGAUAAGUCAUUUUGCAUCCCAUCCAUCCUUUUAUUCAAAGUAUUCUCUAUACUGUCAAUUCUUUGACUGAGUUGAGCAUUGAUGGAUUUUUGGCCUCCAACAAAAUAUCCCACAACCUUGCUGAGAUUCACUAUUGCUUGUUCAAGACUUGAAGCUUGUUGAGAUGGUUGAGCUGGCUAUUGGUACCGAGGUGCUCUUGGCUUCCAUGAAAAAUUUGGAUGAUUCCUCCAACUUGAGUUGUAGGUGUUUCCAUGCGAAGUAUUGCUAUUGGGCUUGAAUUGUCCAAUGACAUUUGCUUGAUCUCCAAACAUUUCUCUAGCAACUGGAAUUGUAGGGCACUCCUCCACCAAGUGUUCAUAAGAUUGACAAAUAGAACAUGGUUUUACUUGCACUAGUGUUUCAGCAACAGCUUGCACUUCAUGCAUCCUCUUCAGUUCUAGCUCCUCCAAUCUUCUUGUCAUAGCUACAAAUUUUGCUUUCAUAUCAACAUCUUCAUUCAAGGUGUACAUCCCAGCCUUAGCAUGAAAAGCAUUCGAUCGAGACUUCAUCUUUCCCACUUCUCCUUUGUUCGGUUCAUCCCAUCCCCUUGAGACUUUAGCCACAUAACUCAAGAAAUCCAUAGCUUCCUCCGGAUUCUUACUCAUGAAAUCCCCUCCACACAUUGUCUCGAGGAGUUGCUUCAUUGAGGAAGACAUCCCAUCAUAGAAAUAACUCACCAACAGCCAUGUAUCAAAACCAUGGUGAGGACAAGCAUUCAUGGCUUCCAUGUAUCUUUCCCAACACUCAUAGAAUUUCUCAUUCUCUUUAGCUGAGAAGUUUGAAAUUUGCCUUUUCAAGCCAUUUGUUCUAUGAGUAGGAAAAAGAUUUUUGAGGAAUUCAGCUUGUAAAUCAGUCCAAGUACAGAUACUCCUUAGCCUUAAAGAAUUAAGCCAAAUCUUGGCCUUAUCCUUUAAAGUAAAAGGAAAUAGUUUAAGCCUCAUCAAGUCGAUUGAAGCUCCUCCCUCUCAGAAUGUAUUACAAACAUCUUCAAAUUCCUUGAUAUGUGCAUAGAGAUUCUCACUUUCCAUCCCAUGGAAAGUUGGUGGAAGUGGAACAAUAUGCGGUCUGAUCACUAGCUGCUCUGUAGGGGGCACUAUACAUGAUGGUGCACUCAUACGAGGUGGAUGCAUGUGGUCCCUCAUUGAUCUGAAUGCAUUUGGAUUGUCCUGAUGACCAUGGUGACUAUGCUGAUCUUCAGGCGUAGUUUCCAUGAUGUUCAAGCUCAACUCCAAUUCCUUGUUAUGAGGUGUUUCAUGUUUAACAAGCCUUCCUCCACUAUCUCAUAUCCAAUUUGGCAUACACAACUAGUAUCAAUUGUAACAAAAAAAAAAAAAAGAGGAAAACAAAAGAAAACAAGGCUACAAAAAGACUUAGAUUAACUAAAACUAAAUUAAAAGAUAUACUAGAAUAUGAACAAGUAAAAGAAACAAUUAAAAGAGUUAGUAAAAUAAAAGAAAAUUCACCAAACUUGUGAUGAAAAUCACAAGUACGCUGAAAUAAUAUCACUUGGAAGUUGGCACCUUCCCUAGCAACGACGCCAUUUGAUUCGUUCCUAAUUGGUGUAUCAGCUGAUUCAUGUCCUCUCAAUGGUCCCCGACAACGGUGCCAUUUGAUUCGUGCCCAGCUGGUGUUCCUUGAUUGCGGUCCUUAGAAGGGAGUAAUCAACAAAAUUUAUAACCUAUAUCACCAUGCAUUAGGAUAGCUUUAGCUAAUAUAACAUAGUGGCUCUAGGAUCGUUCACUGGGAAGGGUUUUCAACUUACAACUGAUACCAAUUCAAAGUUAAAUUGGUGCUUUUUCAUUUCAAGGUUAGCUUAAGAAGAAAACAUAAACUUUGGUUGAAAAGGUUUUUAUUUUAAGCUAACUAAAAAGAAAGUAAUGGAAAUUACUUAUGAAGAAAAACAUUCCUUGGAGUUUUAGGUUCACAAGGGAGGCUCCUCAUGUAAAAACAUAGCUCCGAUCACUUGGUUCUUUUCCUCGCAUUAGAGAAUUAACAUAUAGUUAAUUCUCUAACCGGUGUUGUACAGAUGCUUCCCUUUAAUGGAUUUCAACACUAAUUCCCUCUCAUUGAUGCAACUUGCAAUGGCUCGUGCCUCUCACCUAGCAUUUUCCAUUCAAGGUGAUCAUUAACCUUGGACUUCCCUUCUCAAGCUCGCAAGAGAUAACUAAUGGAUGUCUCCUUAGAGUCCUAAAGCUUACCAAGUGUUAGCAAUUCUAGAAAAUCCUACCUUCAAGUCACCUCCCAAAAGCUCGCAAGAGAUAAACUAGUGCAUCUCCAUGGACGGAGAUCACUUGCCUUACCAAGUGUUAGCUCAGGUGAAUUGAAGGUGUUUUAAGUUAACUAAAAACGUAGAAAUCAUUAAUGGGUCACACUUUCUCUUUAUUAAUGGCUGAAAUAAUAAAACUACCAAUUCUUGCAUUUGGGGCCUUACCCGGCAACCUUAGCUCCAAGGAACUAAAAGUCUAGCCAACCAUUCUCUGAUGAAACAUCCUUAGAGCUUGUUUGGUUAGUAAGAAAAAAAUAUAUAACACAAUACAAUCAAAUUGAGUAGGUAAAGCAGAGCAAAAGCUUUGUAUUUUACUUCCUUUCAAAACUAUACAAAAGAUGCGUCUCUGAGAACAAGCUCCCGAGAUAUCUGUGUAAUGGAAAUUACAAGCAUUAUAUAAGAGGCUAUUUACCCUUUGUUCUUGCUUAAAGACUAAGGAAUCUUAUGAUAGGUGGAUUACAAGGAGAGUUUGGGGAUUUAGACAUCAAAUAUCUAGAGCAAAAAAAUCUAAAAAAAUGUCGAUUACAAAUAUUGGGAAGCUUCAGGAGAAUUUCGCAGCCGUGCAAGAUGGCUGCGAAAUUUCGCAGCAUAAAGGACACCAUUUCGUAGCCAAAGGCUGAUUUCACAGCCCUGCAAAAUUGGCCUUCAGCUUGAAGUGAUCAGCUUCCAAUGGUUGUAACUCCUUCAUUUCAACUCCGAAUAGCACACCAUUUGAAUCGUUGGAUUGAUGACUUCCGAGCUUCGAAACGACAUAUAGUAUGCAUAAUUUGAGCUCUAGGAAGUGCUCCAAAAGUGGCUGACAGUGACUAUCCUUUUGGAUGCUUCAUGGUGGAUUUCUCUCUUUGCUUUUCCUCCUUUCAUUCAUGAUUUGCUUAUGGAAAAGGGCUCUAAAGCUUCAAAGCUUUGGUUCUUCAUGUUUCUGAGCUUUCCAUUGCUUUGCCAUGGAUUCCAAAGAACUCUUCUCAAUCUCGGAUUGCUUUGGUGAUCAAAUUACUAACAAAAACACCAAAACUUACACAAUUUGAUUAGAAAUUAUUGCAAAGGUCCUUAAUAUGUUAAUUGAGUUAAAAGGUAAUAACUACUACUCAAAAGUGUUUAAAAGAGUUAAUUACAAGCUAUCAAAUAAAACUUUUUGAGUAGUAAUCAUGGCACCACCUUAGGAAAAAGGAAAAAAAAAAAAAAAACAGAAUGGACCAAUGUGAGUACAUUAAGCAAGUCAAACACAAAAAGAUUAGAUUGAGUAAAGCUGAGUGAACCAAUGUGCAUGCAAUGCAAAUAGUUAAUGAAUAGAAAAGAGUUGAAAGCCAUGAAAGUACAUAAGAUCAAUAUUAAACACACUCAAGACAUUAAUCUCAUAUGAAUAUCUACAAAAUGGAUUUAUCUAAUAUGAGUAUACAAGAAGUGUAUCUCAUAUAAUACAAGAUGCACUAAUGUGCAUAUAACCCAACCUUCUCUUAAUGCUAGCCAUAUGAAAAUCACCAAAGAAAUAAGAUUAACAAUGUUCAACUAUCCAAUGUUAGCAUAUUUUGUGCAGUAAAUUAGGCAGUGUUAAGCCAACAUGAUAAAUUGGCUUCCUUCUGUGUCAUUGCAUUUUUCUGUUAUUUUGUUAGAAUAUUUUUUUUGUUUAAUUUUUGUGUGUAAAGCUACAACAUUUUAUUAGGAGCUUACACGCACUACAAGAAAAAAGAGAAUUAAUGACACUUUUUAAGCGUCAUUAAAAGUAUAAGAUGACGCUUCUUUAAAGUGUCCUUUUCUCCCCUGUCAUUAUAUGUUUUAGCCAAUAAUGACGCUUUUAGGAAGCGUCAUCUUUGAUUUAUACUUUCAAUGACACUUAAAGAAGUGUCAUCUUUGAGUAAUUUCUACUAAAAUAAUUUUUAUAAAAUUGUCAUUGUUGACACUCAUACGGGGCGUCAUCUUUGGAUUAUUUUUCAAUGACACUUAAUAGAAAUGUCUUCUUUAAGCAUUUUAUUUUAAUAAUAAUAUUGCUAUUAUGUUUUUAAAAUAACGAAUUUCCUAUAUAAUUAAAUAAAAGCAAAAGCAAUUAUAAAUCAUAAAAUUAAAUUGAAUUGUACAAAUUAAAAUAUCUCCAAAUAUUAAUAUAAAAUGGCUUAAUUUGAAUAAUUAGUAUAAUUACUUGUAUACAAAUUAUAAAUUUGUUCAUUAGAUCAAAAUAUUUCAAUGAGAAUUUUUAAAUCCAAUAGAAGAACAAAUACCGGUGCAAUAACUACAAAAAGAAACCAUCAUCAACAAAUGCCUAGUUCAACCUCCUAAUGAUUUAAAUGAUAUCAUCUUCAUGAUUUUCAGUAUCGCUUCAUUGUAAUAAUUUCUCUUCUUCUUGUAAGCCAAUUUCCUUUACAAGCUGUAAAUAAAAAAAUAUAUAAAACUUUUAAUUUAUACAUAUAACAUCCAAUAUAAUUGAAAAAAAGAAGAUAUAAGAAUAGAAAAUAAUCUAACACAUUAAUUAGCUUUUGUUCAAGUAAAGCAAUAAAACAAACAUACUAAUAUUCUUCUUAUUGGGUCAAAGGUAAGAAGUUUUACUAGAGUAUAUAAAUUAUUAGUGUUAAAAAAUACUACUACUAAGUACGAUAAUUAUCUCAAUUAUUAAGUGUAAAACCACAUGAAUAUGUCUUAGUUCCCUUAAUUAUUGAAAAGAUCCAUUUAAAAAUGAUUUAUACUAUGUUGAUAGUGAAGAAAAAUAAAUAUUCAUUUACCUUGUCAUUGGCAUCAUCCCCAUCAAAGUCUUCUUCAUUAGGCUCUUGCUUCAGAGAGGUUAUCAAUAACAUUAGAGUAAUAUAAAGCAAAAGAGGUUAAUUAAAAAAAAUUAAAAAUAAACAUUGAUAGAUUUACCUUUUCACAAAAUAGCUAUAUUCUAAGAUGCCUUAAAAAUUAAAAGAGAUUAUUUAUGUAGCUCACCCAUGUAAAGUUAUUCAAUUCAUGUUUAAAGAGAGGUGAAUAAAAACAAAAAACAAAAAAUAAAGAUUGACAUGUUUACCUUUGUUCACAAGAUAACUAUAUUCUAAAAUUCCUUAAAGAUGCCUAAAAAUUAAAAAUUAACACAGAUUGUUUAUGUAGCUCACUCAUGCAAAGUUAUUCAAUUAAUGUUCACACAUGCAAAUAGGUUUCAACAUGCAUUUAUGUUCCACGACCUAUGUAAUACAUUAAUUUGCCAUCAAUUUUGAAUUUAGGGAUGUAGGCAAUGGGGGGCCAAUAUCCCAUGAUUUCAAGACUUGCUAGUGUUAUUGGCAGCCUUAAGAACUGAAGCUUAGGUUAGGAAACAAUAUAUAGGUGCUGAAGAGAGAUACGUUUUGGGGAUCCAAGGAAGAUAUGGAUUCUAGCUCAUUUAUCUGAAAAUUAAUCAUAGGGGUAUCUAGAUUUCAAAUUAUAUUAAAAAGGAAAAAACACUUAAUUAUUACCUUAAUAAAAAAAAUACACAAGCGUUUCCACAACUACUAAUGUUGCAAGUUAAAACUCGUGUGACCUUUGACUUUUAGUUGCCUACCAUCACUAUAAUUUUUUCUAAUAAAUUUUCCAACUAAACUUGAAUUUGAGAGUGCCUAUUAUCUUAUUUGUUGUUUGUAAAGUCCUAGCCCCAUUCCCAUGGUAGUUGUGCGUAGUUUAUCUAUAAUUGUUUUGUGAAUAUUCCAAUAUACCUUUUACAUAUAUCAAGAGUGUCAUACUAACUUUCAACAUAGAUAAAACAUCUACUUUAAAAUGGAAACUAAAAGAAUUUAAUUACCUUUCUCAUUUCGAAACUCCAAGCUCAUGGCUAACUACUUGUCCUCACCAAUGGCCAGCGUUGUAAUCCCCUUGGGAAAGCUAACAUCUAGAAAGGAUAGAUGCACUUUGAUCUUAUCAUGGAGCAAGUAACUCAUUUUUUUUGUGGUCAUCAUUAUGCUAAAAAAUUGAAAAAUUGAAAAUUGAAAUUUUUACUUAAAACCAAAGGAAAGUAAUUAAUAAUGAUUAUAUACUUUAGAACCAUAAUGAAAUUGCUAUUAAACUAAAGGAAAGUAAUGGUAAGCUAGCAAGCACUAACCAAGCGGGGUUAGGUGAAAUCUCAUCUACAAGUUUAGGAAAUUCAAUUCCAAAGAGUUUGAGAGAUGAAGAGUUUGAUGGGGCUUUGGUAAAAUAUAUUUCUACUUCACAAGAGGUAAAUAUUGGUUUGAUACAUUUUUAUAGAAUGUAUUUAGGUUUAUUUGCUUAUUAUUUAAGACUCUUAUAUUAAUUUUAAUGUUUAUCAAAAAGGGCUACAUAGAGUUAUAAAAGAAAUGGGAUAUUUGUGUGGUUGUUCAACAUGCAAUUUCUCCAAAAUAAGUUAUUCAUAUAUAAUUUGAUUUGUUCUCAUCAUUGUAGUGUUUGGCACAUAUUCAGGUUUACUGAACAAUAUCACAUUUAAUUAGUUUCUUACUGCCUAUAAGUUUGAGCAACAUGCUUGAUAAAACAAAGGCUAUGAAUAAUUAAGGAAAAUACCCAAAAGGGGGGGUGAAUUGGAUUUUUCAAAAUCUUUUUCCACACAAUAAUAUAUGCACAAAAUAAAUAAAGGAAAGAGAUAAAGUUAGAGAAUUCAAACUCGGGUUUAUAGUGGUUCGACACUCCCUUGCCUACGUCCACUCUCCUCAAUCUCCUAACCGAGUGAGGGUUCUACUAACUUGAAGCUUCAAUCAAGCUUUCAAUCUUCUUACACUUGGAUUUCGGCUCCAAUGGGCUUUUACACAAUCUCUUCAAGAUUUGAACCACUUGAAGGCUUUCACACUCAGUUUACACAAAGAUAAAACUCUCAACCUAGCUUAAGGAUUGGCUCAAGUACAAGAGAAAGCUAGGAUGAUUUACAAGAGUGCACUAAGAAUACACAAGUGAUGGUUUUAUGCACUAAGAAAUAAAUGAGAGCUUUUUGAUCAAGAAUAGGUAGGUAGACAAUUGAUUGCAAAGGUUCUCUUAGUCAUAAAUGAAGUGGAGCUCUCAAUUUAUAGGUUUCUAAGCUCGAGAGUCAAAAACAACAAAAGGCAACCUCGUCCGGUUGAUCUAGGGUCAACCGGUUCACUAGCCGUUGGAGCAUUUAAUGCAUGACAGGUUACCGUUGCCUCAAUCGGACCUCGACCAGUCCUCGACCGAUAAAGGAAUCACCUCGAUUGGGAAUAGAAGGCUACUGGGAAAGAGAGAAGGUUUUUAACCUUCCUCGACCGGUCCUCGACCGGACGACCUCAGCCAGUCGACCGGUUCCUCAACCGGUUGACCGGUUGAGCCUUUUUGGCCCCGAAAACCUAUUUUUUGAUUCCUUUCUUUUCUAACACUUAGGCAAGGUCUUUAGGUGAGUUAAUAUGCCAAUUUUGAAUCAAUUUGCCUAAGGUAUAUUUGAUAAAACUCGGGUUUUAAAGAAAAUCAAGUUUUAAAGAAUAAACCGAGUUUUCUAAGAUGUAUGAAAAGGUAUGAACAUCCUAAGUGCACUCAUGCUAUCAUCUUACAUUCAUUUCCUAUGAUCUCAAGUCCUCCAAGCGUCUCGAUCUUGUAUCCAUUUGGUCAUUUGAUGAAUUUUCGAGUUUAUACUUGAGAUUCUUAAACAUUAAACCAAUUAGUUACUUAACCAUGGUUUGUUAUCAUCAAAACCCGAUUAGGAGAACCCUUGGGCUAACAAUCUCCCCCUUUUUGAUGAUGAAAAACCUUGGUUAUCUAGGAGAUAGAGAAAUCUCCCCCUCAAACCAACCAUGGGAUAAUCAACACAAAAUUUAGGAAAUUUAAGGCGAGAAGACAAUGUAAAUCAAUAAGAGUGUCAUAUCAUAUAUAAGAAAGAGCAAGAAUACAUGAAAGCAUAAGUAUGAUAUGCAUGAAAAUGAAAAAGUCUCCUAAGGUCCCUAUCCUAACAUAUCUCCCCCUUUGGCAACAUAAAAAAGAAACGAAGGGGGAUCCCAAACAAACUCAAGGCUGAGGAGGUGGUGGUGGAAACACAGAACGGAGGUAAGCCAUCAUCUCCUCGUGCUGACUCUCCUGGCGGCUCUCAAGACGCUCAAUCCUCUAUACGAGAUGCUCAAACUGAGAGGUGAAAUCGGCCUGAUACUGAUCGAGAUGCCCCUUUAUAGAGUAGAAGCGGGAGUCAUGGACUAGGACAAGCUCCUCCAUACGAGUCCCAAGAGAACUAAUCUGCGCGGAGAGAUCCAUCCAAGGCGCAUGAUCAGGAACAUGAGGUGCCUGAGAUGGUAGCUCGGUGAAUGAUGGCUAAGAUGAAGGGCCUGUUGUGAAGGACGACUUAGUCAUCAUAGGCUCAGAGAAGGUAGCCUCAACAUGAAUGCCCUCUGACUUAUGUGGAGGCAGAAUGUCAACCUCGGGCCCUCUCUACUCAAAGUCCCUCUGAGGGUCCAACCCAUCCUCCAUCUCUCUGAUCUCAGCCUCCUCCUCUACUCCGGGGUGCAUCUGAUCAUGUCCCCGAGCCUGUCGCUCGGCUUUCCUAACCCAAGAGCCAUCGGGUACCUUCUCGAACUUCAUGCGCCUUAGAGACUGCUCAUCAUACGUGUCAUAAGUGGUGGGGGCCUCAAAAUCCAUCUCUCUACUCAAGUCGACCCCGGCAUCCUUGAAAGCACGGGUAAGGAAGCGGCCGUAGGGGAGUACACGUGUCGAGCUCUCAACACAGGAGAUCAUGUGCAUCAUCAUAAGGUAGCCAACAUGAAUCCGUCUCCCGAUGAGGAUCGAGUCAACAAUGAAAGCCUCGUGGUAGGAGACCUCGUCUUGAUGUCCUCCAUGUGGCAAGAGAAUUGAACAAAUCAUAUGGUGAAGGACUCGGCUAGUCACUGUCAAGCUUUGAGCCAAUGGUUUGCCCAUCUCCUGAGGAUCGGCAAGUCCACACAACCUCUGAACAGCCUCUCUAGGCUCAAAUCCUGGCACAAUGGGCCACACCUUGGCCUUAUAAACACGGAGUCCAACCGAAGGAAUGUCGAGAAUGCGGUAGAUGCUCUCGGGACUCAAAUGGAUCUCAACGCCUCUCACAGUGGAUAAUACGGGUCCUCCAAGCCCGUAGGUCGCCCGAGAAUAGAAAGCCUGCACCAGAGUCGGGAAAAAACGGCUCAGGUAGCCAUCCCAUCCAUCCGAACAACUACUCAAAGCCAAAAUGCUGAAGUUGGGAGAAAUUGACACUUCUCCCUAGGACGACUUUCCUCUGAGCAAAUUUUUGCUUGUAGCGCUGAUAGUCCUCACUCGAACUGAAGAGUGUCGUGUCAAACCUCGCCUUUCGGCGAGCCUCUGUCUGCUCGGGCUGAGAUGGCUCAACAAGGCGCUUUCCCUGAGCCUUAGAAGUGCCCGUCUCUCUCCGUGGUGCCAUCAAUGAAGCGAAAGAGGUGAAGAAGGAGUCCAAACAGAGAAUGAAAGCAGAAAGGAAGAUGCAACCACAAACCUGAAACCCUAGAUGCUUGGAGAUGGAGCUGAACAGCCUUGAGACGCGCGGUGCAGAGAGGAGACACCCUCAAGAGGUGAAACCCUGGGUUUCAAACCAAAACUGUGGCCCAAAUCCGUCAAGAGAUGAAACCCUAGGCUCAAAAUCGUGUCAAAAAUCACUCAAAAACCUGAAAUCGGUCCAAGGAAUAGCCCAAACUGGUCUCUAAAGGCGGGAAGAUGAAGAGUUUUCAAGAAACGGUGGAGAACAGUGGAAAAAACUGACGCGCGGGGGCCUUUUAAAUUUCCAGCCCCGACGAACCGGUUGACCAGUUCCCCAACCGAUCGACCGCCUGGUCAACGGUCAACGGCCAUAGUCAACGAUCAGAUUUUCCAAAUUUUCUUGCAUUUUCUUGUCUCGUGAUCCUCCCCCUGCCUUUUUCAAUUGAAAUCCCCAAUUUUUUAUGUUCAAUGCCAAGGGAAUUUUGAAUUUUGGUAAAAAAUUGACCUAUUUCCUAAGGAAUUGCUAUAUGAUGCAUAUGAGAUGAAAUUUAUGCAAUCAUAAUGCAUUUCCAACAAGAAUUCAUUAUACAAACAUCAGAUCAAAGAGAAAUAACCCUUAGUUGUCUUCUAAUAUCGGAAAAUUGUUCUUCACUUAGAGGUUUUGUAAAAAUAUCGGCAAGUUGAUAUUUUGUGCUUACAAAUUCAAGUGUAAUGUCACCCUUUUGUGCAUGAUCUCUAAGAAAAUGGUGUCUAAUUUCUAUAUGCUUGGUCCUAGAGUGUUGCACGGGAUUUUUUGAAAUAUUUAUGGCACUAGUGUUAUCACAUUUGAUAGGAACAUGCUCAAAAGACAAGUUAAAAUCACUAAGUGUUUGUUUCAUCCAAAGGAUUUGUGCACAACACAAACCGGCUGCUAUGUAUUCAGCUUCCGCCAUUGACAAAGCUACCGAAUUUUGCUUCUUACUAUGCCAUGAGACAAAUGAGUGUCCUAGGAAAUGACAAGUCCCACUAGUGCUCUUUCUUUCAACUCUACAAUCGACAAAAUCGGCAUCCGAGAAACCAAUCAAUUCAAAGUUAUCACCCUUAGGAUACCACAAACCAAUAUUCAUUGUCCCUUUCAAAUAUCUAAGAAUUCUUUUAACGACACUUAAGUGAGAUUCUUUAGGACAAGAUUGAAAUCUAGCACACAAGCAUACACUAUAAAUGAUAUUGGGUCUACUAGCGGUCAAAUAAAGCAAGGAUCCUAUCAUGCCUCUAUACAUAGUUGAGUCAAUAGAUUUACCUUUUUCAUCCAUGUCAAGCUUGAUGGAUGAGCUUAUUGGAGUUUUCAUCACCUUGGCUUCUUCCAUGUUGAACCUCUUGAGAAGAUCCUUUAUAUACUUUGCUUGAUUGAUGAAGGUACCUUCCUUUAGUUGCUUGAUUUGAAGUCCAAGGAAGAAAUUGAGUUCUCCCAUCAUGCUCAUUUCAAACUCACUAUGCAUACACUUAGAGAAAUCUUUACAAAGAGAGUCAUUAGUAGCUCCAAAAAUAAUAUCAUCAACAUAUAUUUGAACUAGGAGCAUAUCCAUAUAUUUGGUUUUUAUGAAAAGAGUUGUGUCAAUUUUUCCCAUUUUAAAACCCUUUUUCAAAAGAAAUUUACUUAGUCUUUCAUACCAAGCUCUAGGUGCUUGUUUCAAACCAUAAAGAGCCUUUUUAAGUUUAAAAACAUGGUUUGGAAAGUUAAAGCUUUGAAAACCGAGUGGUUGUUCAACAUAUACUUCCUCAUUUAUGAAGCCAUUUAGAAAAGCACUUUUCACAUCCAUUUGAUAUAGAAUAAAGUCUUUGAAGCAUGCAAAAGCAAGCAACAUUCUAAUUGCUUCCAAUCUAGCUACGGGGGCAAAAGUCUCUUCAUAGUCUAUUCCUUCUUCUUGAUUAUACCCUUGGGCUACCAAUCUUGCCUUAUUUCUUACUAUGAUGCCAUUUUCAUCCAUUUUGUUUCUAAAGACCCAUUUGGUUCCAAUAACACUUUGAUUUGAAGGUCUUGGUACUAGUUCCCAUACUUCACUUCUUUCAAAUUGAUUUAAUUCUUCUUGCAUAGUAAUCAUCCAAUUUUCAUCAACUAUAGCAUCUUUUAUGUUUUUAGGUUCAAUUUGAGAGAUGAAUGCAAGAUUAUUACAAAUAUUUCUAAGGGAUGAUCUAGUUCUUACCCUAUUUGAUUGAUUACCAAUGAUUUGAUCUUGUGGAUGGUUGAUAACAAACUUCCAAUCUUUUGGAAGGUCUUGGCUUGAUUCACUUUGCACUUGUUGAGGAAGAGAUAGUGCCAAAGGUGAUUCUUCUUUCUUGGGAUCCUCUCCACUUUCUUCUUGUUGUCUUUUGUCUUCAAUUUGCAAUUUUCCCAUGGAGGUCUCCAAUCCUAAAUCAUCAUCAAAACUUUCUCUUUCUUGAAGAGAAUUGUUAGAUUCAUCAAAAAUGACAUGGAUGGACUCUUCUACAACCAUGGUUCUUUUGUUGAAAACUCUAAAAGCUUUACUUGAAGUUGAGUAGCCAAGAAAAAUUCCAACAUCGGAUUUUACAUCAAACUUUCCAAGAUUAUCUUUGGUGUUUAAUAUAAAACAUUUGCACCUAAAGACUUUGAAAUAGCUAAUGUUGGGUUUCUUGUUUUUCCAAAGCUCAUAGGGAGUUUUCUUAAGAAUGGGCCUCAACAAUAUUCUAUUUAAAACAUAGCAAGAAGUGUUUACCGCUUCGGCCCAAAAAUAUUUUGGCAAAUUAUUUUCAUUUAGCAUGGUUCUAGCCAUUUCUUAAAGAGUUCUAUUUUUCCUUUCAACUACCCCAUUUUGUUGAGGAGUUCUAGGAGCCGAAAAAUUGUGAUUGAUACCACGCUUAUUGCAAUAAUCCUCAAAGUCAAAAUUCUCAAAUUCUCUCCCAUGAUCACUUCUAAUGCAAGUGAUUGUAAAGCCUUUUUCAUUUUGAACCUUGUUACAAAAUUUUGAAAACUCAUAAAAAGCUUCACUCUUUUGACUUAAAAACAAGACCCAUGUGUAUCUAGAGAAAUCAUCCACAAUGACAUAAGCAUAAAAUUUUCCUCCUAGACUAGGUGUCGUAGAAUGACCAAAUAAAUCCAUGUGUAGCAAUUCAAGAGGUCUAGAUGUUGAAAUGAAAUUUUUGUUUUUAAAAGAGUUUUUGAUUUGCUUUCCCAUUUGACAAGUUUCACAAACUUUGUCUUUUUGAAAAUUAAUUUUGGGAAGGCCUCUAACGAGUUCAUCUUUGUUGAGUUGGAAAAUGAGGUACAUGUUAGCAUGUCCCAACCUCCUAUGCCACAACCAACUUUGAUCAUGCAUGCUUGAAAAACAUCUAUCAUGGCCAUCAUAUUUUGAAAUAUUUAUAGCAUAUACAUUUUCACAUCUAUGGCCCAUGAAGAUGGUUUUGUCAUUUUGAAUAUCCUUGAUGAUACAAUGAGAUGCUUCAAAAAUUACUUUAAAACCUUUGUCACAAAGUUGACUAAUGCUCAAAAGAUUGUGUUUUAAACCAUCUACUAAUAAAACACUUUCAAUAAGGGAGGAUGUACCAUUACCUAUGUUACCUUGACCAAUGAUUCUUCCUUUUGUAUUGUCUCCAAAGGUGACAUAUCCUCCUUUUCUCUUUGUAAGGAAGGCAAACUUGGAUUCAUCCCCGGUCAUGUGUCUUGAGCACCCACUAUCCAAGAACCACUUAUCCUCCUUUGAGCCUUACAAAAUAGAAUUCAAGUUGGUUUAGGUACCCAUGUCUUUUUGGGUCCUUGAGGGUUAGUGACUUUGGAUUUUUCAAUCCAAAUGUUUUUAACCUUAGCAUUUGAAUUCUUUUGAGCACCAUUUCUUAAGGGACAUGUACUACUAAUGUGUCCUCCUCUUCCACAAAAGUUACAAAUAGUGGAAGGACAUUCAUUUGAGGAUUCUUUUACAAAAUAGUUUUUAAAAUACUUUUGGUUCUUUGAAGAUUUGAAUCCUAGUCCUUGUUUGUCAAAAUCACAUUUUUGGCUUGCUAAAAUCAUUUCAAAGGACUUUUGUCCACAAGAGAAAAUUGAAAGAGAGGAGGUCAACCAUUCAUUUUUCUUUUUCAAAAUUUCAUUUUCAUUUCUUAAAAUCUCAUUCUCUUUUUCAAAAUGAGUUUUAGAGAUUUCAUCAAUUGAAAACUUUUCUUUCACUUCCUCAAGUUCUUUUUCAAGUUCUUGAAUUCUCUUUUUAAGAGAAUUAUUUUUCAAACUAAGUUUUUCAAAAUCCUCAUAUAGUUCUUCAAAAAUAACAUGCAUAUCUUCAUCACUAGAGUUAGAGUUUUCCUCAUCAAGAUCAUCUAUUGCCAUGAAGCACAUGUUUGCCACUUCUUUCUCCUUUUCUUCCUCGGAAGAUUCUUCACUCUCACUCCAAGUGGCCAUCAUUGCCUUCUUCAUUCUUCUCUUGGCUUCAAUUUUGUAGAGAGGACAAUCAUAUUUAAUGUGUCCCAGCUUUUUGCAUUUGAAGCAUAUCAAAUCUCCUUUCUCUUCCCAUUUUUCCUUGUCACCAUGUGAUGAGGAUUCCCUUCUUGAGGGAUUUCUUCUAGAGGUAAACUUUUUCCCUCUAAACCUUUCACCUCUCAUGUACUUGUUGAGCUUUCUUGUGAUGAGAGCUAAAUCAUCAUCUUCUUCACUUGGUUUUUCUUCUUCAACAUCUUCUUCUUCCUUGGUUGUAGCUUUGAGAGCUAUGUUUUUCUUCUUUUUGUCUUCACUCUCUUGUAGUUGCUUUGUCAAACUGAUUUCAUAAGUCAUUAAUGACCCUAAGAGUUCUUCCAUAGGUAGCUUGGUCAAAUCUUUAGCUUCUUUAAUAGCGGUGACCUUUGUAUGCCACUUUGAGGGGAGAGACCUCAAUAUCUUCAUCACCUUUUUGGAUUCAUUUAUGACCCUUCCCAAUGCUUCAAGGCCAUUGACAAUUUCAGUGAACCUAGUGAUCAUCUCAACAAUAGAUUCAGUUUCUUUCAUUGAAAACAAUUCAUAGUUAUGGACAAGUAUAUUAAUUUUUUACUCUUUCACUUGAUUAGUUCCUUCAUGAGUUAUUUCAAGCAAUCUCCAAAUUUCCUUAGCAGAUUUACAUUGGCAUAUUCUAUUAUAUUCAUUCCUAUCCAUAGCACAUUGCAAAGUAAAAACGACUUUAGCAUUUAAUUGAAAAUUUCUUCUAUCAAGCUCAUUCCAUUCUUGCUUGAGUUUUGGAACCAAAACUCCAUCAACUAAUUUAGUGGGAAAAGUUGGGCCAUCUUCAAUGACAUCCCAUACAUCUAAAUCAGUUGAUUGUAAGUACCAAGUCAUUCUAACUUUCCAAUAGGGAUAGUCGGUUCCCGUAAAGAAUGGAGCUCUAUGUUUUGAACAAUUUUCAGUUUGAGAUGAGCUUGAUGGAACAACCAUUUUCCUCUUAGAUGAUUAAGUCUUAAGCAAGAGGUCUAGCUCUGAUACCAAUUGAUAAAACAAAGGCUAUGAAUAAUUAAGGAAAAUACCCAAAAGGGGGGGUGAAUUGGGUUUUUCAAAAUCUUUUUCCACACAAUAAUAUAUACACAAAAUAAAUAAAGGAAAGAGAUAAAGUUAGAGAAUUCAAACUCGGGUUUAUAGUGGUUCGGCACUCCCUUGCCUACGUCCACUGUCCUCAAUCUCCUAACCGAGUGAGGGUUCCACUAACUUGAAGCUUCAAUCAAGCUUUCAAUCUUCUUACACUUGGAUUUCGGCUCCAAUGGGCUUUUACACAAUCUCUUCAAGAUUUGAACCACUUGAAGGCUUUCACACUCAGUUAAGGAUUGGCUCAAGUACAAGAGAAAGCUAGGAUGAUUUACAAGAGUGCACUAAAAAUACACAAGUGAUGGUUUUAUGCACUAAGAAAUAAAUGAGAGAUUUUUGAUCAAGAACAAGUAGGUAGACAAUUGAUUGCGAAGGUUCUCUUAGUCAUAAAUGAAGUGGAGCUCUCAAUUUAUAGGUUUCUAAGCUCGGGAGUCAAAAACAGCAAAAUACAACCUCGUCCGGUCGAUCUAGGGGUCGACCGGUUCACUAGCCGUUGGAGCAUUUAAUGCAUGACAGGUUACCGUUGCCUCAAUCGGACCUCGACUGGUCCUUGACCGGACCUCAAUCGGUAAAGGAAUCACCUCGACUGGGAAGAGAAGGCUACUGGGAGAGAGAAAAGGUUUUUAACCUUCCUCGACCGGUCCUCGACCGGACGACCUCAUCCCGUUGACCGGUUCCUCAACCGGUUGACCGGUUGAGCCUUUUUGGCCCCGAAAAACCUAUUUUUUGAUUCCUUUCUUUUCUAACACUUAGGCAAGGUCUUUAGGUGAGUUGAUAUGCCAAUUUUGAAUCAAUUUGCCUAAGGUAUAUUUGAUAAAACUAGGGUUUUAAAGAAAAUCAAGUUUUAAAGAAAAAACCGAGUUUUCUAAGAUGCAUGAAAAGGUAUGAACAUCCUAAGUGCACUCAUGCUAUCAUCUUACAUUCAUUUCCUAUGAUCUCAAGUCUUCCAAGUGUCCCGAUCUUGUAUCCAUUUGGUCAUUUGAUGAAUUUUCGAGUUUAUACAUGAGAUUCUUAAACAUUAAACCAAUUAGUUACUUAACCAUGGUUUGUUAUCAUCAAAACCCAAUUAGGAGAACCCUUGGGCUAACAAUGCUGAUGAUAGAACUAGACACCUAAAUAAUCAUAUAUACUUGGAGAAUGGCUAGCCAAUUUAUAGUAUCAUUAAUCAAUAGCUUAAGAUCACCCUACUCAAUGAAUUACAUGAAGUGAUAAAACUAACAGCUUUUAGAUAGAUAAAUGCAAUCUGCCGAUAGAAAUAAGGCAACAAAUAAAAAUCAAAAUUCAUUGCUAGUAUUGAAAAACUCACAAUUUAUCCUUAUCACUUCAUCCCUAAGCCUUUUUAUGGCAACUUGAAUUCCACUCCAUGAUGCAAUGAGGUAGGUUCCCUGGGAUAUUACUUUGUCUUGUCAAAUUACUAAUUAAAGGAUGAAAAUUAACUAAAUAACUAAGGUAUAGUGUUAUGACAUUUGGAAUGUAAGUAUCAACCCACUAUAAGAAUAUUAAACUAAUUUGUUUAAAAGUUAAAGUGCAUCACUUGCUAAAAGGAAAUAAUCUUAGCCACUGUUGGUUAUUUCCGUCCAUCCUAGGUAAGAAGUUUGACUUACAUGCUAUUAUUAUAUUAGGCUAAUUUUUAAUUACUAUAUUCUAGUUAACAUAAUUCCUAAUGGAGCAGCUUCUUUAAAAAGGAAAGUAUGAAAAUGUGUAUAAACGUUUAUUUAAAAAAAUAUAUUAAAUGGAAAAUUUUAAAGUUAAUAUUAAAUCAAAUUAAUCUCCAUAAAUAGAAAAAUAUUGUCUUGCUUUUCAAACACUAUCCAAAUUACCUUUCUAAGUUGAUAAGAUAGUCAUGAAUAACUUUUAAAUAUUAAAAUCAUUGAAUUUUUAAAUGAUAAAAUUUGAUUUUUGAAUAUUAAAAUCAUUGAGUUCUUAAAAAAAAAAAAAAAAAAAAAUUCAAUUAAUAUUUAUUAACUAUCAUUAUACAAAAAAAUUCCCAAAAAUAAGUAUUAAGACUUCAACCGGUAGGGUCUAAACUACCAAGUAUUUAUUAUAUUAAAAUCAUUGAAUUUUUGAAAUGAUGAAAUUUUGAAAUUUGAUUUUUGAAUAUUAAAAUCAUUGAGUUCUUUAAAAAAAAAAUUUAAAAGAAGUCAAUUAAUAUUCUUUAAAUAUCAUCACGCAAAAAAAAAUCCCAAAAAUAUAUAUUAAGACUUCAAAGUGUAAGCUACCAAGUAUUUGAUAUAAAUAAAAAAAUAAAAAAACCAACUUAGAGACAAGGUUCUACCAUUCAACUUUGCCUCUCCUAAUAAGACAAUACAAAAAAAAUAGAGGAUUAAAAAAAGGGAUAAAUAUGAGUUCAGUUAGCAAAUAAAAGAUAAUGCAAAUUAAAACAUAUAAAAACCUUGUGAGUUGAUGUCUCAAAGGCUUACAGGAUUGUCACAAUCCAAAAUUAAAGGAAUCUAUUUAAGCUAAAUUGUAAGCAAGAAGGUAAUGCAGAAUGGGAUUCCAUAGUUUUCAAGUCACAACCUUGAAAGUUAACCACCCAACAUAGAUCAAGACAACCCCCACGCAGUCAACUGGAAGCUGAGACCCAAAGCCUUAUUGAAAGGCAUAACACCAAAGCCCUACAAGAAGCUAAGACACUUAAAGCUUUCCUAGGAUUGGAUAAAACCAGUGUGCCCGACUUCUCUACGAUUGGAAAAGCUUCGAUGAUGGAUUGUUCAAAGGGUUAGGGUUCAAGAGUGGGGCUCUUGCUUUCUCAGAUCCCUCUAACCCUCUUCUCAAUCAACUGUAGAAAACCAAUAAAUCAUAUAUAACCGAAACAAUUGCAUCAACCAAUUCAAGAUUUAAGAUUAAAAAAUUUUCUAUCUGAUUUACGUCUUUUUUUCUAGCAUUUCUAGGUAACCAAACAAACCAAUAAGAAAAUAAAUGAGAGUACCUUCAUUUUGUUGGUAACAUUUUCUCAUCGAUUGGUUGUUGUUGGUGGCCGGCAACGUGGGUGAUUGCCCUGGGUUAGGGCUCUAAGUGUUUGGAAUAUGAGUUAAUGUGUUUAGAUGGGAAAAAAGAAUGAAAUAUAUAUCAGUAACUUCAAUGACACUUGAUAAAAGUGCCAAUGUUGCUCUCCAUUUCAAUGACACUUAUAAAAGUGCGCCAAGGUUACUCUCCACUUCCUACCAUGAUGCUUUUUAAAGGUGUCAUAUUAAAAGCGCCAUUGAAUCCAAUAUAUGUAUCACAAAAGCGCCAAGGUUUAAAAAUAUUCUAUAAGCACCAAGGUUGACAAAAUUCCUUGACAUUUUUCUGAAGCGCCAAGGAAUCAAGCGUCAUAACUUACAUUUUUUCUACUAGUGAUGCGUUCAACUCUUCCUCUGUAUACAUUAAAUAGGCAACCCUGCUCAGGAAUAUAUUGAGCCAUUCCAACAUUUCCUCAAUUCAUCCUUUCUUAUUUCUUCUUUACUCCUUUGUUUUGAUUUGGUAUAAGAGUCAUUCAAUCCAAAUGGAUUCUUCUCCUUCAACCCUUAUUUUUUCUCAAGAAAACUCUCAAAACCCUAGCCAACAACCAAAACACCCAAUUCAAGGUUCUUCUCCUCCACCGUUUCUUCAUCAAGCUGGUCUCCAGAUUCAAAAUCAGUUUCCUUUUCCAUAUUUUCAACAACCUUCCAACUCUCAAUCAACCCCUCAAUAUUAAGCUAGACAGAGACAACUACUUGCUCUAGAAAAAUCAACUUCUGAAUAUCAUAAUCGCCAAUGGGUUUGAAGAUUUCAUAGAUGGAACUAAUGUUCACUUCCUCGCUUCAUAGAUCCACAACAACAAAUUGUCAAUCCCCAAUUUCGGAUAUGGCACCAUCUGAAUCGACUUUUGAUGAGUUGGUUAUAUUCCUCAGUCACAAAAGGAAUGCUCAACAAAAUCGUCUAACUCACCACAACCUCGAAGAUCUGGAACACUCUCGAGAGAACCUAUGUUGCAGCAUCUCAUUCUCAUGUUCGGGAGGUUCGCACUAAAAUUCAAUCAAUCAAGAAAGAUGGUCUCACUGUUGAUGAGUAUGUUUUUAAGCUUAAGAAUAUUGCAGAUAAACUUGCUUCAUUUGGUGAACCUGUCUCAAAUAAAGACCAGUUGAUCUACCUAUUUCAAGGUUUAGGAGUCGAGUACAAUCCUUUUGCAACAUCCUUUAAUGCUAGAUCUAAUCAACCAACCAUAGAAGAAGUUCAUAGUCUUCUUUUAAGCUUUAAUCUUAGACUAUAGAGGCAAAAUGUUGUUGAACUAUUGAAUGUGAAUAUGGCUCAAGCUAAUCUUGUUGCAUUUGCUAACAAAAAUCCUUCAAGACAAACCAACAAAACUUUCAAAACUUCUUUGCAAAAUCUCUAACUCAGUCUUACUACAACCCAUAGAACCAGAAUCCCCUCCCACAUGGUUAUAAAAAUUUCUUCACUCCAUAGAACAACCAAUUUAGUCCCCAAUCUCAAGCUGGAAUUCUUGGAAAACCUCAAGGACCACAAGUUCAAGGACAAUGGCAGCAACGUCAAAUUUUUCAAGCUAUAAAAGAAAGACCCAAAUGCCAAAUUUGUAAAAAAUUUGGUCAUGAAAAUCUUAACUGCUAUUAUCGUGCUAAUUUCAGUCAAUAUAGUCCCACUUCUGGUGUUUAGAACUCAAGCCCCAUGGUUGUCAUGAUGGUAAGCUCCUUUGUUGUUUCUUCAAGCUCAAUGACGGAUGGCACCUAGUACAUGGAUUAUGGAGCAACACUCCACUUGACUCCUGACUUGAGCUCUAUGUCCUCUCCAAUACCUUUCCAAUGGAAUGAAAAUGUCAUGGUAGGCAAUGGUAAGACCAUUAACAUUUCUCACAUUGGUAAUAUUUCAAUUCCUACACACUCUAAAUUUCUGAAACUCAGGCAUGUCCUACACACACUUGAAAUUUCAAAACAAUUAAUCGGUGUAACCAAACUUUGUUUUGAUAAUAAUGCCUAUGUUCAACAAUUCCAUCCUACUUUUUUCUUGGUGAAGGAUCAAUGUUCGAAGAAGGUGCUACUUCAAGGUCAUCUUGAUCAUGGACUAUAGAAACUCAACAUUGCUACUGAGCUUCUUCCACCAAGUUCCACUCUCAACCCUUCAAGUUCUUCUUCAGUCCAAGUUUUCAUGUCUAAAAAUAAGUUGUCCAAUUUGUGGCAUAGUAGAUUAUGACACCCAUCUUCUAGAGCUUUUUCAUUGGUUUUGAAUUCCUGUAAUGGCAGUGUUUCAUCUAAGAAUGUUCAUGACUUUUGUACUUCAUGUAAAUUGGCUAAGAGUCAUCCAAGAAUAAAAAUAUCUAUAAAUAUGGAUAUAUCAGUACUUCAAUUUUUCGGAUAUGUCGGAUAUAUCGGCGGAUAUUUUGACAUAAAAUAUCGAUGGACCUAAAAUUGAUCAAAACUUAAAAAGAAAAAAAAAAGACUCUUAAAAAUGAAAUUAGAAGUAUAAUAGAUAUUUUAAAGUUAUUUUGUUCAAGAAAUUGAUAUAUGUAUAAUGUAAUUUAUCAUAUUUCAUAAUAACAUUGUAUACAUUGAUAAAAAAUAUAAAUUUCAUAAAUAUACAUUUAUUAUUAAAUUAUAUAAAAUAUUAUUCGAUAAUAAUGUUGUGAUAUUUGAUUAUACUUUGUCUAAUUUAAAAAUAUAUGUAAUAUUAAAAUUAUAAUUCAUUUAAUAUAUGUAUAUUUUUUAAUAUUUAAUUAAUAUAUUAAUGAUAUUAAAAACACUAUGAAGAAAAUUAUCAUGAUAAUUUUAUAUUUUUGGUAAUCAAUUAAAUGAAAAUUUUCAUUUAAUUAUAAUUAAUUUGUUCAUUAAAAUAUUAUUUUAAUAUUAUGUUUAUAUGAUGAGUUUUAGUUAUAUAUGUUUGGUGGGGUAUAAAUUAUAAGAAGCAAGCUUGGCCUAAUGGUUGGCCUAGCUGCAUAUUGAAUCUUUUGGUUGGAGUUCGACCCCUCUCAAUUGCAAAAAAAAUCAGGUGAGUUUUUACCUUUGAUCGCACCGUCCCAUGUUGACCUCGACAAAUUAUCGCGAUAAAUCACCGAAAAAUUGAUAAAAUGAUGAUAAAUUACGAAAUAUCGGGGAAAUUCCCGAUAAAUUGAUGAAAUAUUGGAGUAUCGAUAUUUCUCUCCUAUAUAUUGUGUCAAGGUCCGUCGAAAUAUCAUGAUAUUUUAAUCCAUGGAGUCAUUGAUUGACUUUUGUAAAUUCAUCUUCAAGACCAACAAAACUGUUUGAUUUAGUACAUUCUGAUCUUUGGUGUGCUUCUCUUGUACCUUUUGUGACUAGUGCUCGUUAUUUUCUACUAUUUAUUGAUGAUCAUACUUGGUUCAACUAGCUUUAUUUACUCAAAACAAAGGACGUAACAUUUUCCACUUUUCUAAAAUUCAAGGCUAUAUUUGAAAUAAAAUUUUAUUCUAAAAUUAAAGCUCUCCAAAGUGAUUAGGGAGGUGAAUAUAGAUUUAUUUUAACUCAUUUGCAUAAUCUUGGUAUUAAACAUAAAGUCUCUUGUCCUUACACUCCACAAUAGAAUGGUCGUGCUGAAAGGAAAAACCACCAUGCUGUUGAAAUGGGUCUCACACUCCUUGUUCAUUGUCAUGCUCCUUUGUCUUUUUGGCUUUUUGCCUUCCAAACUAGUGCUUUUCUUAUCAACCGGUUUCCCACUUAUGUUCUAUCUAACAACACACCAUAUGAAUUACUCUAUAAAAAAACCACUUAAGUAUGAUUUUCUCAAGACCUUUGGUUGUGUUUGCUAUCCUUUGUUAUGUCCUUAUAAUAAGCAUAAAUUGGAAUAUCGUUCAGCUGAAUGUAUCUUCAUAGGAUAUAGUUCCGAUCACAAAGGGUUUCUAUGUCUUCAUAAACUCACCAGUUGAGUCUAUGUUACUAGGCAUGUUGUUUUUAAUGAAUCUCACUUCCCCUUUUGUGAUUUUCUUACUUCAUCAUCUUUUACACCUAAUUCUUUGUCCUCUUCUAAGGUUUGUUCCACUCUUCCCUCUACUAUAGUCCUUCCUUUUCCUUCCCCUUCAUUACCUUCUACAUCAACUUCCUCUCCAUCGUCAUCUUCACCUUUCUCUUCAUUUCAAUCUCAAUCCUCUCCUCCAUCAGCAUCUUAUUCUCUUUCACUCUCUCUUAGAGCCUCUACUAUGUCCACUUCCCCUUCAUUUGUUGUCCACACUUCACAAGAUAUUCCUAAUGUUUUAGAAUUGGUUAGUAUUAUUUCUUAUGCUUUUUCAGGAUAUAACAUUCAUAGGAAACCCGAGGACACUAACACUCAAGCUAUGGUGACUCGUGCUAAAUGUGGUGUUUUUCAACUUAAAGCUCUCACCAGCAUUUUUUUCAUCUACUAUGGAACCCAUUUCUAUCAAACAGGCCUUACAAUCACUAGAUUGGACUGCAACUAUGCAGGCUAAAAUUGAUGUUCUUCAUAAAAAUAAUACUUGGACUCUGGUUCCUUUACCACCAAAUUAGAAAAUUAUUGGUUGUUGAUGGUUUUAUAAAAUCAAACUUCUACUUAAUGGAUCCAUUGAACGCUACACAACACGACUCAUGGAUAAGGGUUUUUCUUCAAACUUUGAGACUUGAUUACUUUGAGACCUUUAGUCAUGUGGUCAAGCCUACUACUAUAAGGAUUGUGUUGGUUCUUGCUCUCUCACAUAAGUGGCCGAUUCGUCAACUUGAUAUCCACAAUGCAUUUUUAAAUGGUGAUUUGGAAGAAGAAGUUUACAAGGAGCAGCCACUUGGUUUUGUUAAUUCCCAUGUCCUUACUUAUGUUUGCAAACUUACAAAAGCUUUAUUGACCUUAAGUAAUCACCAAGAGCCUGGUUCCAUAAAAUCAGCACUUAUCUUCAACAUCUUAGGUUUACUAGCUCUUACUCUAACUCAUAAACGUUUAUUUGGUUUUUUGGAGCAACUAUUGUGAUCUUUUUGGUUUAUGUGGAUGAUAUCAUCAUCACUAGUAGUACCUCUUCUUUGGUGCACUCUCUUAUCACUACUUUUAACACUCAGUUUGAACUCAAAGACUUGGGUCUUUUGUCUUAUUUCCUUGGGCUUGAGGUUCAACCGACACCAUUAGGUAUCCAAUUACAUCAAUUAAUAUAUGUUUGAGAUCUUCUCCAAUGUGCAACUAUGUUGGAUUGUAAGCAUUGCUCUACUCCCAUGGCAUCUGGUCCUACUCUUUCUCUUUGUGAUAGAGAACCCUUCAAUGAUCCUUCUCUAUACUGAAGCAUUGUUGGUACUUUGCAGUACUGUACUCUCACCAAGCCAGACGUCUAUUUUUCUGUAAACAAAGUGUGCCAGUUUAUGCAUGCUCCAACUCCUACUACUUGGCAAGCUAUGGAAUGUAUCUUACAAUACCUUAAAGGCAUAAGUUCUUAUGGUCUUUCUAUCAAUACUUCCAAUGAUCUCUCUCUUCUCUAUUAUACUGAUGCCGAUUGGGCUAGCUGCCAUGAUGACAAGCGUAGUACCAGUGGAUACUGCACUUUUCUUGGUCCUAAUCUCAUAUCUUGGGCAUCUUCAAGAUAAAAGGUUGUGUCUCGCUCUAGUGCUGAAUUUUAAUAUAGGGGACUUGAUAAUGUUGCUUCUGAGGUCACUUGGAUUAAAUCUCUUUUGCAUGAAUUACGUGUUUGUCUUUCUCAUCCACCACUUUUGUUGUGUGACAACAUUAGUGGUACAUACUUGGUUGCUAACCCUAUGUUACAUGUGAGGACAAAGCAUGUCGAAAUUGACUAUCAUUUUAUUCAUGAAAGAGUUGUGCGCCCAACACUCAGAAUUCAAUACACUCCUUCUACGAACCAACUAGUUGAUGUUAUGACCAAGACUCUUUCUUCAUCUCGCUUUUGUAAUAUUCGAUGCAAGCUAACUGUUCUUCCUAGCCGACUUAGCUUGAGGGAGGAUCUUAAGCCAGCAUGAUAAAUUGGCUUCCUUCUCCAUCAUUGCAUUUUUUUGUUAGUUUGUUAGAAUAUUUUUCCGUUUAAUUUUUGUUUGUAAAGCUACAACAUUUUAUCAUGAGCUUACAUGUGUACAACUCUUCCUCUGUAUAUAUUAAAUAGGCAGCCCUACUCAAAAAUAUAUUGAGCCAUUCCAACAUUUCCUCUAUUCAUCAUUUCAUGUUUCUUCUUUACUUCUCUAUUUUGAUUGGUGGUUGGUGCAAUAUAUUAUGAGAGAUAGGAGGGACUUUUGAAAUUAUCUCCUAUGAUUUCUAAAUGUAGUAGUUCCCAUUUUUUUAGGAUAAUCAAUAAGCUAAAUUACCUAUGUACAUAGAAUUUGUCACACACGCAAUUUCUGGGUUACGUUUUUAUGUCUAGGCAGCGCCUACACAUGCUUUAGGCCAAUCUUCCUCUUUGCCACAAAGCACACACAAUAUUUACAAGGUUCUCCCCAACUUGAAUCUUAUAUAUUCAAACAGAUUACAAGAACUAUCUAGAAGGACUCCCAUAAUAUCACCGGGUAGUUCACUUGCUUUUCAGAAGGCACACAGGCUUUCCUUUUAUAAAGGUUGCACCAAGCAGUCCUAAUCCUACUCGGAAACUAGCUUUUGAUUCCUAGUCUGACUUUGAUUCAAGCUCAACAAACACCACCUUGAGUAAGACUCUGAGUCCUACUCAAUCUCAAACUCCUUAGCCAUAGGUGGUCUCCUAGUGCAUGAAGACUUGGUUUCCCACUUUGAUUAGGAGUCUUUGCCUCUCAGGAGGCCCUCUCCUCCUACAUCAGGUCUUAGUCUCCCACUUUGACUAGAAGUCCCAUGCCAAUAGGAGUCUCUCGUUCUAUAUAUAUCAGCCCAUAAUGCUUGCUGCUACAGAUGACCACACCUUUCUCGGGCUCAUCCCAAUGCCAAGACAUGUUUGACUCUAUCUGCCUGCUCAAGACUCAUGUUGUUGCAUCAGUGCAUGUUGUGCUCACGCAUCAAGGCCCUUGUUUCUAAGGUCAUGCUCAUCCUUGUUGCAGCGAGGCUCCUUCAUUGGAGGCAUCCAUCUAAGUUCCCUUUAGUCCCUGUGUCAUUGUGCCCAUAGGUUGCACCACAUUGAGGCACCAUGCCUGCGCAUGUGUGCUAGUCUCAACAUGUUGUCAUGCCAGCCAUGCUGUGCAUUGCUGCUACUGAAGCAUGUCAAUAGCCAUCUUACCAUUCUAAGGUAAUCUUCCCACACUUUUGCAUCUUGCUUUGCUCAUGGGCCACUCAAAGGGGUGCUGCCCACAUGAAGCUCUAAUGCCGCCAAGCUUAGUUUGAGGGGCUGGUAAAAUUCCUCUAUAGUAAGUGUUGUAAAUAAAUAGGAUUGUAAACGAUGAAAGUAUUAUGGGUAGAAAAUAUAAAGAAAAUAUUUUUCUCUUUAACUCUUCAACAUGGUAUCCUAGGACAUUUUUUUUGUUUGCUAGUUCUUUAAAUCAACAAUAUUUGCUUAUUCUGGUUGUUUUCCGAAUUUGUAGAAGACUAUUCAUCUAUUGUUCUUCAAUUUUAUUUUAUUAUAUAUAUAUAUAUAUUUUUUUUUUUUUUGUGUCUAAUUGCCAUGUUUGGAAUUUUUUAUGAGGAGUUCUUGGACAACUCGUUGAAGCAAACAUCUACCCAAAAUUCCUAGAUCAUAUUGUCAAGUACAAGUUGCAAUUGGACUAUGCCAACUUAUAGAUUGAAUGGACAAAACUUCUUAAGAUGCUCUCAAUUCAUGAAGUUGUUUGUUAUAGGAAAACCAAAGGUUGGUUAUCUAGUUGGUGCAAUAAAAGCUCCAAGAAGAGAUGAUCCAACCUAUUCUAUUUGAGGGGCUUGUUUGGUUUCCAAGAAUUAAAAUUCUUUCAAUUCCUUUAUAGCCAAUGAUUAAUACUCAAAAAGUGCUAUUUCAUAGCUUGUAAUUAACUCUUUUAAACACUUUUGAGUAGUAGUUAUUGCCUUUUAACCCAAUUAACAUAUUAAGGACCUUUGCAAUCAAUUCUAAUCAAAUUGUGUUAAGUUUUGGUGUUUUGAUAGCUUUUUGAUCACCAAAGCAAUCCGAGGAUGAGGAGAGUUAUUUGGAAUUCUUGGCAAAGCAUUGUAAAGCUCAAAUUCAUGAAGAACCAAAGCUUUGAAGUCCUUUGACAUAAGCAAAUCCGGAAUGCAAGGAGGGGAAGCAAAGAGAAAUCUGCCAUGAAGCAUUCUUGAUGACAGUCAUGUCAGCCACUUUUGGAGCACUUCCUGAAGUCCAAUUUAUGCAUGCUAUAUGUCGUUUCGAAGCUCAGGAAGUCAACGAUCUAAUGCUUCAAACGGUGCGCAAUUUAGAGUUGAACUGAAGGAGUUACAGCCAUUGCAAGCCAAUCACUACAAGCUGAAGGAAGAAUUUUGCACAGCAUUGCGAAAUCACCCUUUUGUUGCGAAAUGAUUUCGCAGCCUUUUUGUAUAGUGUUGUGGAUUUCCCCCUGAAGUUUCCCGUCACGAUGGAAGUCAAAUACCACAAGCUGAAAGACCACUUCGCAGCGUUGCGAAAUCAGCCGUUUGCUGCGAAGUAAUUUCGCAGCCCUUUGUGUUCAUCUGCGAAAUCUCGCAGACCUCGGUUGCACCUGCGAAAUGGUCCCUAGUGCUUCCCGAUAUUUACGACCGACACUUGGAGAUAUUUUUCAUCAGAUUUUUGUUGUCUAAAUCCCAAAAUUCUCCUUGUAAGCCACCAAUUAUAAGUUUCCUUAGCUUUUAAGUUAGGAAAAAGACUAAAUAUCCAUGUAAUAAUUAGUAUUGUAAUUUUUCAUAUAAAUAGCUCUGAGAGCCUGUUCCCAGAAGAGACCCUUUUUGUAAAAAGUUUGGAAGAAAGUAAAAUACAGAGCGUUGCUUUGCUUUACCUUCUCACUUUGAUUGUAUUUUUCAUUUUCUUAGUUAUGCACUCUCUGAGGAAGUUUCCCCAGAGAAUGAGUAACUAAAACUUUAGUUCCUUGGAGUUAAGGUUGCCGGGAAAGGUUCCAAGUGCAUGAAUUAGUAGCUUUGUGGUUUCAGCCAUGAAUGAAGAGUAAGUGUGAUCCUUUAGUGGUUUCUAUGUUUUUAGUUAACUUAAAACGCCUUGAAGUCACCUGGGCCAACACUUGGUAAGGCAAGUGAUCUCCAUCCAAGGAGAUGCACUAGUUUACCCCUUGCGAGCCUCUGGGAGGUGACUUGAAGGUAGGAUUUUCUAGAAUUUCCAACACUUGAUAAGCUUUUGGACUCCAACGAGACAUCCAUUAGUUAUCUCUUGCGAGCUUUUGAAGGGAAGUCCAAGGUUAAAGAUCAUCUUGAAUGGUAAGUGCUAGUGAGAGGCAUAAACCGUUGCAAGUUGCAUCAGUGAGAGGGAAUUAAAGCUGAAAUCCAAUUAAGGGAUGCAUUUAUAUAGCACCAAUUAGAGAAUUAACUAUAUGUUAAUUCUCUAAUGCGAGGAAAUGAACCAACUGACCGGAGCUAUGUUUUUGCAUGAGGAACCUCCCCUGUGAACCUAGAUCUCCAAGGAAUGUUUUCUUCAUAAGUAAUUUCCAUUACUUGUUUUGCCAUUAGCUUAAAUCUAAAUCUUUUUAAACCAAAGUUUGUGUUUUAUUUCUUGAGCUAACCUUGAAAUGAAAAAGCACCAAUUCACUUUGAAUUGGUAUCAUUUGUAAUUUGGAAACCCUUCCCAGUGAACGAUCCUAGAACCACUAUACUAUAGUAGCUUUUUCUUUGCUACCUUAGUAUAUGGUGUAAUAGGUUAUAAAUUUUGUUGAUUACUCCCUCAAUCAAGGAGCACCAGCUGGACAUGAAUCAGCUGAGACACCAAUUGGGCACGAAUCAGCCAAAACAGAGAUUAGUAUGUUUGCUAAGAAAAUUUCUCCACAAGUAAUUAAAGAGAAGAUUUUACAUAGAAAAAAAAUGUUAAAAGUUUCUUAAUAAGCCAACAACAGUAUUACAAUAUAAGAGUUAGGCUUUACUUAAGAGAAAGAUCAUCCAAAGGUUGCUCACAGAAAUACCAACCCACAACAAUAGUAUCGAUCCAACUCUCACUGCAUCUGUGUUGCUAUUACUGUCUAUAGGAGACAUGAUGUGCACCAUUUUUUCUUUUAGAAGUUCAAUUCCACCCUCCCUCCCCAAUAGGAGUUCCACUAUUUUCUUCUUUGGGACAUGAAAGCAUAUGGCUUACCUUAUUUCCUCUUCUUUCAUUUUCUUUCCUCUUCUUUCUCUAUUCUCCCACCUGUACCAACCAAGAGUUUCCUUUGCUUCCAAGCCAUUAUUCUUUUCAUGUGUGAGUUAUGGUGUUUAGUGACAUUUUUUUUCAACUUUGGUAAAGUCAUCUCUUGAUUAAUUUCUCUAAAUUGUAGGGAACAUACAUUGAGUUCUCCUUUUUUGUAGUUAGGUCCUUGAAAGGGAAAAGAUUUCUACUAGACUCAUUGCAAUUGCAGUCAAUUAAAGAUCCCAAGUUUGAGUCUCCUUCUAUCUGGUGAUCUAGUAGUGUAGGAUAAAGCAAACUACUUGUAGUUGGGAUAAAUGUCUCCCAAUCAUAAGGACUUUCCAUUAUAAACAAAUCUUUUAAAUAUAGUUAACAAAAUUUAAAAAAAAAAUUAAAUAUUAAAAAUAGUUUUCUUAAUUUAUUCUUUGUGCAUUGGCUCUAGCAAACAAGGACAAGGACUUAUAUAAUACUUUUAUUAUUUUAGAUAAUAGUUAUGGAUCUUCCAACACCGUAUAAAUGUACUUGCAUCAUAGUAAAUUAUAUUUUGUUUAAAUUAAAAGAUCAAGAAAUGUUGGCCUAUUUGGUGAGGUGUGUGUGUGGAGAUGUCCUAAAGUAACUCUCACUUAGGUGAAUCCUUCAAGGAUACAUGUGACCUAUACCUCGUUGUAACACUUUUUGUUUCAAUCUCAUUUAGGGAAAACCCCUUCUUAACAUCACAUUAAUAAUAGUCUCACCAUGACAAUGGGGCAAAGACUCUGUUCAAAACUAUAGAGAAAUGACUCUUCAAAACUAAUGCUACUUGCAAGUCUCACAGUGUGAAUUGUUUCUACACGUUGAACCUUCCUAAUAGAUACUCCAAUAAAAAAAGGUUGGAUUAUAUCUAAAGGUGACUCUUAUGUGGGUUUAACGCAUCCUUACUUAAUGAAUUAACACUACAAGAAAUAGGAUUUUUGGUGACGGUCGCCAACCAUCACUAAAUCUUAUAUAUCCGUGACCAAAACCUAUUGUCAUGGUCUUUUGAAACCGUGAUCGAGCGUCACAAUAUGAGGCAUAACUAAAGGUAUUGGUCACGGUUUCCUAAGUGAUCGUGACCAUAUAAUUUCUUUUUUUGUGACAACCAUACAAAAACUAUGACAAAAAAGUUUAGAAUACUUUGCUAUUUAUUAAGUUGAUUUAGUCACGGUCAGGUAAUAAACCGUGACCAUAAAUUUACAUUUAGUCACAGUCAUUUUUAUUAACCGUGACUAUAAACAUACAUUUACAUUUAGUCACAGUUAAUAAAAUGAUUGUGACUAAAUGUGAACUUAUGGUCACGGUCAAUGCCCUAACCGUGAGUAAAUGUAUGUCUAUAGUCACGGUUAAUAAAAAUGACUGUGACUAAAUGUAAACUUAUGGUCAUGGUCAAUUCCCAAACCAUGAAUAAAUGUAUGUCUAUAGUCACGGUUAAUAAAAUGAUUGUGACUACAUGUAAUCUUAUGGUCACGGUCAAUGGCCUAACCGUGACUAAACUAAUCAUAUGGUCACAGUCAAUUCAUUAAUCGUGACUAAAUAUAGGUAUAUGGUCACGAUAAUUAAGUGACCGUGGCUGAAAUUAAUCAUAUGAUGGCCGCUAUCCCCAAAUUUUGGUGACAGUUCAUUAUUGAGCGUGACUAAAAGUACACUUAUGGUCACAAUUUUUUAGUGGUCGUGACUAAAAUUUGUUAUAUUUGGAUAUUGGUUUUUUAUACAUUCAAAUUUCCCAAACCUAUUAUAAACCCAAACAAACCCAUUUUAGACCUGUAUAUGCAAUUAAGCAAUUAAACCAAGUUCAAUAUAUUACAAUCAAUUAUUCCAAGCUAGUUAAAAACUUAUAUAUCAAUAUAAGUCAUUAAAUAAAAAAAAACAUAAUAUAACAAAAAAAAAACCAAACAAACAAAAAAAAAG